CAGUCCAAUAAGAAUCAAAUUUCGAUGUUUCAAGUUCCCUUAGCAGGUAUACAUCAUCAUUUAAAUUAAAUUUGUGAGAGUUUACAUUUUUGUCAUAAUGUAUUUUACUUUUUUCUUUAACUCUUUCAAGGUUUUUUGCUGCCAUUGCCUGAGUAGGAGUGACCCUUGUGAGAAGCUGAUCUAAAUACUGGAUAAAGGUUCGCGGAACUUCCUGCUUCGCAAACUCAGAAGGAAUUACGGCCUUUACACCAAAAACCAAUUCAUGUGGAGUAAAACCUGUGGACUCAUGUACAGAGGUAUUGUAUGAAAAUAUACCAAAUCUUAUCCAAUAGUCCCAAUCUGAUUUUGUACAGUAAUGUUUAAGAUAGUCUAUGAAUACACGAUGAGCUUUUUCCAGAGAUCCUAAUGACUGAGGGUGAAAUGCAGUAGAGCCCUAGGACAACCGAAUCUACUGAUAAACUGUUCGGACAAAGCGGCAGCGACAGAUACUGAAUCGAUAUUAGUUAAAAGUAAUUGACCCACAAUGUCCAUCUGCACUUUUUCGAACGCGACCUUGGGAGUGUCAGUAAUUCGCAUGGGUUGUCUAGUCUUUGCAGAACGAAUUUUAUUUCUUUGGCAUAUUAAGCAGGGAAGGUCAUGGCAUCACCGACAUUCAAAGAAUACUGUUUCAGUUGAUCAAUGGAAAACCCUCUUCGUGCAAACAAAUCCUGUCCAAUCUGUAAAAUGUUAUUGCAAUCAAGUGGUAGAAAAUGGACAAGGUUAUCUCUACGCAUAAAAAGAGUCGUUAACGGUUUUUUCACUUGGGAUCCUCCGUGCGGUCUUGGUCGCGAAACUGGAUAUGUGCUGAGCAAUCACUAGGUUCCCCGGGGACCUCUGCCGUGACAUCGUCGUCAACAAUCUACUGGGCAUCACAGCCUUCGCUACAGCACACUCCGAAAAACAACCAGGCUCGUCAGCAUCUGCCACGACAACAGUCGCAAAAACAGGCUCCCCACACCUGUGCCGCGAUCCAAGAUUACGCAGGCCUUAUAACACUGGCACCCUUAUUGAAAACGGACUACCUCCAAUGACAUCGGGAGCGGUUGCCUGGGGUUCAGUCAUCCCGUCCAACCGAUUGCGCAAAGGAAGCUCAUCACUAGUCUCCAACCGGGGUAAUCCCUUACCGUUAAUGUUAGCUUGAAUACAUUCAUUCCCAACAGAGGGCAAACUAACAUGAUGGGAACUUGUAUCAGCUUUACUUAAAAUGUCACAUCUGUCAUCAUCAUUAGAACAAAAGCAUUUUUCCACAUUAAAGUUUUCCAUUAACUCUUUUCCUUUUUCCUUUCGUUUUUCUUUUGCUCCUCCAUCCACCCAAAAAAUUGAAACUAUCAUUUCCUCAUUACUAUAAUUAACAAAAUGGUCAUCAACCCUGCUCGUACAAGUAUCUGAAACCGAUAACUGGUCUGCGCAGUCCAGCAUCUUUUCCAAACGCUUUGAGCAAGGUUUAAGAGACUUUUCUACUUUGAGGAAGACUUGACGGAGAGUCGCGAGUUUCAUUAGAUAGAAUUGGAUUUCGAGGAAGUCCAUCAGCGUUAGAAUUUACUUUACCA